rnacentral:rRNA from 1 species
AGCAGCCGCGGUAAUUCCAGCUCCAAUAGCGUAUAUUAAAGUUGUUGCAGUUAAAAAGCUCGUAGUUGAAUUUCGGGAGCCGCGGGUCGGUUGGGCUUAACUGUCCAUCACUGGCUCCGCGGGUCUCUUACCUUCUGGCGAGGUCAGAUGUCAUUUAUUUGGUGUCUGGCGGAACCAGGACCAUUACCUUGAAAAAAUUAGAGUGUUUAAAGCAGGCUUUAUCGUCUGAAUACAUUAGCAUGGAAUAAUAAAAUAGGACGGCUAAGGGUUCUAUUUUGUGGUUUCUAGGACCACCGUAAUGAUUAAUAGGGAUAGUUGGGGGCAUUAGUAUUCAAUUGUCAGAGGUGAAAUUCUUGGAUUUAUUGAAGACUAACUACUGCGAAAGCAUUUGCCAAGGAUGUUUUC